ensembl:lncRNA
CCUGGUUAUGGAGUUGACAUAGUGACGGUUAUAACACUGUGGGUUAUGGGAAUGCCUGGUUAUGGAGUUGACAUAGUUACGGUUAUGACACUGUGGGUUAUGGGAAUGCCUGGUUAUGGAGUUGACAUAGUUAUGGUUAUGAUGACAUAGUUAUGGUUAUGACACAGUGGGUUAUGGGAAUGCCUGGUUAUGGAGUUGACAUAGUUAUGGUUAUGAUGACAUAGUUACGGUUAUGACAUAGUGGGUUACGGGAAUGCCUGGCUAUGGAGUUGACAUAGUUACGGUUAUGACACAGUGGGUUACGGGAAUGACAUACCUGGUUAUGGUGAUGACAUGGUUACGGUUAUGACACGGUGGGUUACGGGAAUGCCUGGUUAUGGAGUUGACAUAGUUACGGUUAUGACACUGUGCUGACUACAGUGAGGAUGAUGGUGACGUGUACUGUAGCCUGAUGAGGGUGAUGGUGACAUGUACUGUAGUCUGAUCAGGGUGAUGUGUACUGUAGUCUGGUGAUGAUGGUGACUGUAGUCUGGUGAUGAUGGUGAUGGUGACAUGUACUGUAGUCUGAUCAGGGUGAUGUGUACUGUAGUCUGGUGAUGAUGGUGACGUGUACUGUGGCCUGAUGAGGGUGAUGGUGACAUGUACUGUAGUCUGAUCAGGGUGAUGUGUACUGUAGUCUGAUCAGGGUGAUGUGUACUGUAGUCUGGUGAUGAUGGUGAUGUGUACUGUAGUCUGGUGAUGAUGGUGAUGUGUACUGUAGUCUGGUGAUGAUGGUGAUGUGUACUGUAGUCUGGUGAUGAUGGUGAUGUGUACUGAGUCUGGUGAUGAUGGUGAUGGUGACUGUAGUCUGGUGAUGAUGGUGAUGGUGACUGUAGUCUGGUGAUGAUGGUGAUGAUGGUGAUGUGUACUGUAGUCUGGUGAUGAUGGUGAUGUGUACUGUAGUCUGGUGAUUCUGGUGAUGAUGGUGAUGUGUACUGUAGUCUGGUGAUGAUGGUGACAUGUACUGUAGUCUGAUCAGGGUGAUGUGUACUGUAGUCUGGUGAUGAUGGUGAUGUGUGUUGUAGAAAUGCUCCUCUGUCUACACAGAGACAUUUUUCCUGACGAAACUCUAACACGUUCUACAAGCGAAUACUGGAACAAUAUUUCCAUUCCCCACAUAAGAACGUGGGGAAUGGUCAGAGGCGAGCUAAAGAAUUAUCAUGUCAUAUGGGUUGUUAUUUUGUGAUGUCAUUAAAAGUGUUAAAGGAAAUACUGUAACUUGGAAAGUAUACACACUACAUGCACGAGGUCUCCAUUCUUUACGUUGUGCAUGAAAUAUUUAAAAAAAUAUGAAAGUAUUUUUGUUAAGAUAGGAACGUGAUUUUAGGAGCCAUGAGAUAAUUUGUCUCCUAUAAACUUUGCACAGUAAGUAGCCACGCCCCGAUUGAGGUCAGAGUUGUGUGUCGGCCUGAGGGAACCGUCCCUUUUGACCAGAGUGCAUAAAAGGAUUGGUAAUGAAAUUAACAUUGAGACCAGAUCAUCGCCAGGCUGCAGAUGCGCCUGUAAAGUAGUUUGAACCCUGAAUACCAACACGAGGUGGAGAAGAAAACUCCCCUCUCAGAUAAUCACUGGUACAGCUGAUUAGGUGUUCUAAGUCAAAUAUCUAGAAAAGCUCAUUUUAAGUGGGACUACUCUACUACUCUUCUCAAUUCACUGUAUUAUUCUACUCUCAUCACCAAUGGGAACCAUCGACACGUAUGGCUAGCCAAUCUUCCGAAAGGAGCAUCUUCCAGAGUGAACAUCAGUAGAAGACGGGGGAGGGGGAACCCUUUAGGACAAUCAGAGCCUUACAAGGGUGUCGCUGAAAGGCCCAACACCCUUCCUAACAAGGCCUCGUUCCGACAGAGAAACGGCGAGCGAAGGUAUUCACACGUAAAUACAUUCAUGAUUUCCAAACGGGAGAAUAGUUUCUAAAGUGUAUCAAAGAUAAUUGUCUUUUCCUCUCUCUCUCUACCUCCCUCUCCUUCUGUAAAAAGCCACCAUAUUGGGUCAGUCCGCUAGGGACCUUUUCCG